rnacentral:lncRNA from 1 species
AUGUGGGGCAGGACCGGGAAGGGCCAGGGGGGGACACACAAUGCUGCCCACAUGGCACUGCCAGCACCUGUGCCCACCUGUGUGCCCACAUCUGUGCCCACCCACUCAAGCCCACCGCACGGUCACAGUGGCCCUGGUGGCCCCAUGGUGGCCCCAUGGUGGCAGUGCCAGCGCUGUUGGUCACAGGUGGCCCCAGCUGCCAUGCUGUGUGUCUCAUGGUGGCCCUGGGUGUGCCCGUGGUGGCCCCAUGGGCUCAGUGAUGGCCCCUUGGUGGCCCUGAUGGCCCCGUGGUGGCCUUGGUGGCCCUGGUGUCCCUGUGGGCUCGCUGUGACUGCCACGGGAGCCCGGGGGAUCAGGGAGUGCCCAUGGUGUCCCCAGUGUCCCUGUGGUGGCCCUGGUGGCCCCAUGGGCUUGGCGAUGGCCCCGUGGGCUCAGUGUGAGUCCCGUGGUGGCCCCGUUGUGUCCCCACUGUCCCCGUGCUGUCCCCGCUGUCCCCAUGGGCCUGCUGUGAGUCCCGUGAUGGCCCCGCUGUCCCCAUGGGCCCCGUUGUGUCCCCGUGGGCUCUGCGAUGUCCCUGUGGGUCAGGGGGUGGCCCCAGGGGAUCAGUGUGAGUCCCGUGGUGUCCCCGCUGUCCCUGUUGUGUCCCUGCUGUCCUCGUGGUGUCCCCGUGGUGUCCCCUCGGUCCCCGUGGGCUCGGCAAUGGCCCCGUGCUGUCCCCACUGUCCCCGUUGUGUCCCUGCUGUCCCCUCGGUCCCGCCGGUGCCCUGUGCUGUCCCCGCUGUCCCCGCUGUCCCCGCUGUGUCCCCUCGGUGCCGCCGAUGCCCUUUCUAGGCAAUGGCAGCGGCCCGGGCAGCGCCCACGCUCCGCCGGCGCAUUCCGAGCGCCUGAGUCACAGCGGGAGGAGCGGCCGGGCGGGAACGGCGGGGCCCGGGCGGCGGGAACGGCGCGGAACGGCACGGAACGGAACGGCACGGAACGGGAUGGGAUGGCGGGGAAUUAAAUGGCAGGGAUGGC